AUCAUUAAAAAGUAUUAUUAAUGAAAUGUAGAUUGGUGUGAUAAAAGGAAUGACAUUUAAUUGUGUUAAUCUUCUUAAUAAUGUUUCAGCUUGUGCCAAUCAAAAAUGAUGACAUUGCAAAGAGGUAUGAUGAGCAGAAGGUGAGGGCUUUUUACAAAUAGCUCAUGUCAUAAUUAUUCUAUUCAAAUUUACAUUGCAUAUGUGACAACUUCUAAUUAAAUAUAUAAUGCAUACAUUUUCUAACAUGUCUCAGAUGAACAGUAAUACAGAAUAUGUGUAUUUAAGGCUAUAGAGGAUAACGCCCGUGCUAAAGCAGGACUGAGUUCUGCCGGCAUGGACUAGGGGGGUAAAGGAGCAGCAAAGGGGAAGAAAGCUGCCGAGCUUCCAGUUCCAACCAAAGACGCCAAUCUCAAUUUUAUUACGGUUAUACCUUUCAAAUUAUAUUACACAUUGCAUGCAGAAUACUGUAUGCAGGCUAGCUCAAACUUGAAGACUAAUGUUAUAUUUGUAUGCACGCAAAAUCAAAAUUUAAAAUCAUCCCGUAUUAACUUGUCUUGUGUUCAGAAGUAGAGACACUUAAACAAAAGAGGCAGUGGGAGCUAGAUGCGUUCUGGAAGCAGCUGGAUCAAGUCUUGAACAGUGGAAAUAUGGGAUCCAGGCUCAAUGAUGUUGUCAAGUUGAACUAUAAUGUGAAGAUUCAUUUGCUUCCCCAGGAAAAAGGCAACACUGAAGCAAUGCUGGCAUUUGGAGCUGCUAUAUUUGAGGGGGUGGCAUGCCUUGUAUAUGACAGCAUGGACUAGAGGAGACAGUACAGCCAUUAUCUCAGCUGUAUAAGGUUUAUCCAGGUACCAGAGGCCUGCAGAUCCACCCAGCAGUCCCGUCCGCAGAGCUCCACUGAGUUUGUACAAACCCCAAGGAAGAAAAUUAGCAUCAGAGGAAGACCCAACAGAGCCAGAGUCUCCUGUUCUGAGCACAGAGGUAGAUAUGAGAUUCUACUGUGACCUUCUGGACAGGAUUCCUACUGAAAUCACAUCUGUGCCUUUUAUAUUGCAUUGCAUGCUAGAGCAGGUGUUGGCUUCAGAACAGGAAGGAUCUGUAAAUUCAGAAAAGGACUGUGAUAAAACACAUCAAGAUCUAAUCAGUUAUAUGCUCUCAUCUGUGCUGAGUCUGCCACAGGAUGAAGAAGACAAAAAGGUAAAAUAGUUUCAAAAUCGAACUAAAUUUUGUUUUUAUUAUUUAUUAUGCUUGUGUAAUAGCAGGAUCUCAUGAAUGAUCUUGAGAUGCAGAACAUCUCAAAGAAUACUGAUCAGAAACACCCGCUCCUGCUCAGUCACCAUGAUGAGAGAGCGAGAAGACUCCAUCAGCUUCCUGUCCUAGAUGGUUUUGAUGUCAUCAGAAUUGAAGCAGACAUCAUGAAGAAAAGCCAUGUGUGGACCAACCUGAUGUCCAGAUACGCUGAGAGCACCAUUGAUAGACUGACCAGAUCACAGGAACUACUGCAUUU